UUUUUUUUUUUUUUUUUUUUUUUUGGUUUUUUUGCUAUUUCUUUGGGCCGCUCACGCGGCAUAUGGAGGUUCCCAGGCUAGGGGUCGAAUCGGAGCUUAGCCACUGGCCUACACCAGAGCCACAGCAACGUGAGAUCCGAGCCGCGUCUGCAACCUACACCACAGCUCACGGCAACCCCGGAUCCUUAACCCACUGAGCAAGGGCAGGGACCGAACCCGCAACCUCAUGGUUCCUAGUCGGAUUCGUUAACCACUGCGCCAUGGCAGGAACUCCUCGACAGACAUUUUAAUGCUUACGCAUGCUCUGGUUUUAUGGGGUCUAUGUGUAUGUAGCUUCUAUUCCCUUAAACGGAUUAGGAGCUUCCUAAGGACAGUAACCAAGCAUACCCUGGAUUUUAGGUUCCCCAUUGAGUUCCCAGCACAGUGCUACAUGCGCCGAGGGUACUUAUCAAUUACCUCCUGCCCAACAAUUUCCAAAGUUAAAAUACAGCUCAAAUUUCUCGUUUCAAAUAUGGCACAGUUCGGAGUUCCUGUUGUGGCGCAGUGCAAACAAAUCUGACUAGUAUCCAUGAGGAUGCAGGUUCGAUCCCUGGCCUUGCUCAGUGGGUCGGGGAUCCGGCAUGGCCGUGAGCUGUGGUGUAGGUCGCAGCCUUGGCUCAGAUCCCGUGUUGCUGUGGCUGUGAUGCAGGCCUGCACCUGCAGCUCCGAAUCGACCCCUUGCCUAGAAACUUCCAUGUGCCGUGGGUGUGGCCGUAGAAAGAAAAAAGUAUAUGGCACAGUAAACUAAGGCAGUAGUAGCUCUAACCUGAGCAAAAUCUAAACCCUUAGAGUGAGGGGUUUUAUGUACUCAAGGGUCUCCUUUUACAGGCCACCAGUUUGCUGAGAGUGUAGACAGCCCCCAACUUCACAAGGUUGUCUUGUUUGUGAUUCGAACCUAGAAAUGCAAGCCCUUGAAAGAGUCUGACUCAAGAGUUCAGCCCUCAUUUGCCCAAGAGGAAAGGUGCCCAUAGCCAAGUCAAGCUGACCGGGUGAAAGCCAGGGUGUUCAGUUUCCUUUCAAAUCAGCCACCAUAAUUGCCACUUGCAUUUCACAUGGCACAGAUCACACCUGUGUUGUGGGGCCAGGAACAGUGGCCAGCUCACCACCUUCAGAAACCCGGGUGGCUCAGGUCCAAGGCAAACAAGACUGAACAGAUGAACCACGCAGUGAGAACUGUAACAUGCCACUGUAAUCCAGGGAACCUACCCACAACCCAGCAGGGCAGGGUGUAGCCCGGAACGUGCCGGAUUUAGGGUCCAUUCCACCUUCAGCUCUGGGAAGGUGAGUCCCUGCUAACUGCUAGCGUCAAGAAACUCUCUUGCCUCUUCCUGGUCUGAAAAUGUCGUUAGUCCAGUUCGAUGAAGCUUCAUCUUAGAAGUGAGGUGUGGCCAUCUCCACGGCAGACCUGGCCUCACAGAGUCUGUACACAGAGGACAAGCCAGCCACCGACACUCCCAGGCCUGUCUGUUAUGAAUUAAGCUCACGGGAGCUGGUAACCACUUAGGAUGUUCCAUGAACUUCGGAGGAUACUGUUCUAGGAAGGCAGCCCCUCCAUGUCCAUUAGUUCAAAAGCCAGUCAGAAUGGAAAGUGAGAGUGAAGUUGAGAUGCCAUAGAUUCUGCAGCUUCUAAAUUUAGUUAGCUCUGCACCCCCCCAGGCCUCCCAGCCGGGAAAAACUAUAGCAACUGGGUGAAAAGAGAGGGAGGAUGUAACGCACUUCCCAGGUACAGCCAGGGCCGUGCGCAGUGGAGACGCUGACAGUGCCAGGUGGCUCCCGUCUUCAUUCUCCUGUGAUGCCAGCACCCUCUUUAGGAUUCUCCCCAAGGCCGCUUAAAACACCCCUGGAAGCUCUGAAGAGGGUCCUCCAGGUUCAGGACCCUGCAGAGGGGGAAAUGCAACCAGCUCUGCUGACCCUGGGGUGCACAGUGAGGUUGGUUCCUGAGUGUGAAGAAAGUUGCAGCGUGGAUGUAACUGCUGCUACGGCAAGGGCCUGCCUCUGUGGGGGUGAGGCAGUAGGGCCGUGGUGCCCCUCACAGGAGGUGCAGGCGAGGGGAACCCACAGAAAACAGAGGAAGCAGUCCCUUCUGCAGGGGUGAGCUCUCCCUCUAGCGCCUCCUACCGGCCGAGCGAGCUGAGCAAGAAGAAGGGUGGUUUCUGGGGGCCCAGUCGGGGCAAGGUGAAAUCCAAUGUGGAAGGACGGGCGUGGAGUCAGGAGGCAAUAACUUAAUAACUGACACCCCUGAAUGAGACAGGAAGGCUCCAAGGGCUCUGAAUGAGGGGGUGACAGAGAUGACUCACGGAGGCGGGGAGGAGAGCGGUCACGGCGGAGGUGGGAGGAGGUGGCUGGGUUCUGGAUAUUGUUAGUCUCGCUGGAUUCGCUGAUGACGUGCCUGUGGGCUGGGAGAGAGCGAGGAGUCAAGGGUGACUCCCACAUCUUGGCCUGAGUCACUGAAUGGAGACAAAUCCUCAGGAAAGGGAAGGUCAGGGCAGAGCAGGCUCCCAAAAAGAGGGCCAUCUGGAGCUCGGCGGGGGGCAGGUGAGCUCCGAGGGGCCCCAGCCUGCAGCUCAGGCAAGGAAAGGUCUGGGUCAGAGGUGUGAGACGGCCCACCAGAGAGAUGCCUUGUAGAGCCAGGGGGGCGCAUGGGAUCAGCAGCGGUGUGUCAGCACUGCUCAGAAGGCCCAGCAGCCAGGAAUGGGAUCUGGAGUCAGGAUGAGGUAGAUCUGAAUCUGAUUCUCCCACCGUUGGAGAUUCCCGGGCAGGUCUUCACCCCCUGAGCUUUGAUUCCUCAUCUGCAAAGUGGGGGUGCCAAGCAUACUGGUGGCUUUGGUCCUCUGAGAGGAUGCCGUGCAGUGAAGGAAGGAAAGCCCCCCAAGCCAGCACCUGACACACAUUCCAGGCUGGAGAGCGAGGCCGCAUCAAGUCUGUCCUCUCGGGGUGGGGUGGAGGGGGGGGGACUAAGGACAGAGGACGUCAGGAGGGGAACUUGAGUGCCUCCUGACCUCCGGAUGAAUGUGGGCUCAUGGGAGGCGGGGGGAACCGCUCCUCUUACUUGUGAAUAACUGGCCUCGGAGUGAGAGACACAGGGCAACCAUCAGCUAUGAACAAAAAGGAAAGUCAGAUUCACAAAAGGAUUGUCUUUAAAAAAAAAAAUCAGCAAUCUUUGAAAAAGCCAGAACUGAGUUUGCAGGGCAAGAGCAACAGAGAAACAGACUCCUGCCGCGGGCUGAGCCAGGAGGCGCCAGUGCGUGCCUGCCGGGAGCCGGGAGGGGAGCUGGGCUGAGUCAGCCCGGGCGCUGCAUCACGACACUCGCCCCCACACGCCAGUCACCACCCGCGGCAGAUCCGCCUGGGAGCGACCCCAGCCUCCCGUUAAUUGUUCACCUCUCAUCAAGCACUCUCACAGGAGGCAGGUGUGUCUGUCCAAGGGCCCCGCUGCGGGGUUCUGGAAGGUGCUACUGUAUUCCUGGCCCAAGAACUGAGGCCAGCUGCUUGCACAGGGCGCGCCCCUCCUGGGGGGUAGGUCAACUCAGGAAACCAAGCCACAGAUCAUGACGCUCAGAAAAUCCAGCAGUGCAGUGAGGGAGUCUGGCCGUCCUUGGGGAGCUCCUUAAAAGCACCCCGCCUGCUGGACCCCCGGGGCGGGGGCGGGGGAGAAGAGCAGCGCCCCCCUCCCCAUCCCCAGGGAGGCAGGAGGGACUUCUGAACAGUCUCUCCACGGUCACCUCAUUUGGUAUCCGAAGCUCUUUGCGUCGCUCUGUUUACAGCAGCCUUUUCCUGCACAAGUUCCCAGCACUUUCACAAUGUAAAAAAUGACUGUCCAGGGAUUCUGCUCCAAGCAGCUGUUUCUGGAUGCUCGGACAGAGCCAUCUGGAACAGAGAUUCCCAACCUCAGCUGCAAUCCGAGUAUCUGGGGGAGGCGCUCACGGCACCGAUGCCUGGGCUCGCCCGGCCGACUGCUACGGGCUACACCGUGUCCCCCCAGAUUCAUGGUGGAAGUCCUAACCCCAGCGCCUCAGAGGGCGCUCCUCUUGGCCAUCAGGUCUUUGGAGGGUGGCUAAAGUGAAAUGAGGUCACGACAGCGGGCCAGCUCCAAUGUGACCCGUGUCCUCAUGAGAACAGGAGAUGAGAGCACGGACCCCCUGUAAGGAUGCGGGAAGAAGGCAGGCGGCUGCAAGCCCAGCAGAGAGGCCUCAGAAGAAACUAACGCUGCCAGGGCCUUGAUCUUGGACUUCUAGCCCCCAGAGCUGCGAGACAAUACAUGUCUGCUGUUUAAGCACCACCCCACCCCCUGAAGUCUGUAGAACUUUGCUGUGGCAGCCCCAGGAAAUAAACACACCGACUGAGUCAGACUCUGUGGGAAUGAGGCCCAGGCAUCAGUAUUUACGAAGGUUCUUCACGUGUCUGGACUGCAGCUGCAUUUUAGAAUUCGCUGUUCUAGGCAAUAAAUCCCCUCCAGGCCGCUCAAACCCAGGCUGACCCUCAGGACUGCUUCACUAAGACGGCGUCAGUCGAGGGGCUUGGUGUAACUUCCCUCCCUCCUUCCAUCUUGAGAAUAGCGAAUCGGACAGAUCGUUGCCCUCGCCUCAACCUCAGGCUCAGCGUCAAUGAAGUUCCAUCCACCCUCCUUCCACUAAAACCUGAAACCACUGGGUGUUUCCUAAGAAAAUCUCUAACAAAGUCGAGGGCCUAGAAAAGGGCUCUAAUCUGAUGAACGACCCCGGGGGAGGGAAAAAGCUGCUUCGAAGGCAAUCGAGGGACGAAGAGGCCACAUCUUCCCUCUUUGGAGCACGGCCCAGUCAAACAGAAUGUCUUUUUUUGGUCCACAGUAACAUCUUCCUCGGAACGGUCAAGUGGCCCUCUUAAGUGCAGGCAGGGACAGGGGCAGCGGUCUCUGGGAACGGCCAGGCCUCCUUUUUUUUUCUCCUGGUUGGUUCAAAAUAAGCCAUCGGUGGUAGUCUGGUCACUGUGCCGCUUUAAAUAAUGAUACUAAGAGGGGGUUUCCCUUCUGGCUCAGUGGGUUAGGAAUCCGACAUGGCAUCCAUGAGGAUGUGCGAUGGAUCCCUGGCCUCACUCAGUGGGUUAAGGAUCUGGUGUUGCCACAGGCCGCAGUGAGUUGCAGAUGCAGCUCGGACCCCAUGGCGGUGGUAUAGGCUGGCAGCUACAGCUACAAUUUGACCCCUAGCCUGAGAACUUCCAUAUGCUGCAGGAAGGGACGUGGCUUGAGGCUGGGUGUCUAGUUCUCCCUCCAUCCUUGUAGCUUCCCUUCUCCCAAUCACGGAAGUGGCCCUGAAGGAUGCCUUCCGCCC
rnacentral:lncRNA from 1 species